AAAAACUCCGGUGGUAUACGAUGGAUCCGCGUCUGAUUAGCCAGUUGGCGGGGUAACGGCCCACCAAAGCGACGAUCAGUAGCCGGCCUGAGAGGGUGAACGGCCACAUUGGGACUGAGACACGGCCCAAACUCCUACGGGAGGCAGCAGUGGGGAAUAUUGCACAAUGGGGGAAACCCUGAUGCAGCGACGCCGCGUGAGUGAAGAAGUAUCUCGGUACGUAAAGCUCUAUCAGCAGGGAAGAAAAUGACGGUACCUGAUUAAGAAGCCCCGGCUAACUACGUGCCAGCAGCCGCGGUAAUACGUAGGGGGCAAGCGUUAUCCGGAUUUACUGGGUGUAAAGGGAGCGUAGACGGCAGCGCAAGUCUGGAGUGAAAUGCCGGGGCCCAACCCCGGAACUGCUUUGGAAACUGUGCAGCUCGAGUGCAGGAGAGGUAAGCGGAAUUCCUAGUGUAGCGGUGAAAUGCGUAGAUAUUAGGAGGAACACCAGUGGCGAAGGCGGCUUACUGGACUGUAACUGACGUUGAGGCUCGAAAGCGUGGGGAGCAAACAGGAUUAGAUACCCUGGUAGUCCACGCCGUAAACGAUGAUUACUAGGUGUCGGGGGGCCAAGGCCCUCCG
rnacentral:rRNA from 1 species